GGAGUAAAAGUCGUAACAAGGUUUCCGUAGGUGAACCUGCGGAAGGAUCAUUAUUGUAUAACCGAGGUGCGAGGGCUGUCGCUGACCCGAAAGGUCGUGCACGCCCGAGUGCCCUCACACACAUCCAUCUCACCCCUAUGUGCACCACCGCGUGGGUCCCCCUUUGGCUUGUUCGGAGGGGGGCUUACGUUUUCACACAAACUUUGUAUGCAGUGUAGAAUGUAUUUUUUGUUUUGCGAUCACGCAAUCAAUACAACUUUCAACAACGGAUCUCUUGGCUCUC
rnacentral:misc_RNA from 1 species